rnacentral:rRNA from 1 species
CUAGUAAUCGCGGAUCAGCAUGCUGCGGUGAACUACGUUCCGGGCCUUGUACACACCGCCCGUCACACCAUGGGAGUUUGUAACGCCCAAAGUCGGUGGCCUAACCUUUAUGGAGGGAGCCGC